UACCAGCUCUCUGAGUGGUGGGGACGCUUAUUGGGCCUAAAGCAUCCGUAGCCGGCUGGGCAAGUCCUCCGUUAAAUCCAACGAUUCAAUCGUUGGCCUGCAGGGGAUACUGUCUGGCUAGGAGGCGGUAGAGGCCGACGGUAUUUCCGGGGUAGGGGUGAAAUCCUAUAACCCCGGGAGGACCAUCAGUGGCGAAGGCUGUCGGCUGGAACGCGCUCGACGGUGAGGGAUGAAAGCUGGGGGAGCGAACCGGAUUAGAUACCCGGGUAGUCCCAGCUGUAAACUUUGCAGGCUGGGUGUUGGUGCGGCUACGUGCCGCUCCGGUGCCGUAGGGAAACCGUUAAGCCUGCCGCCUGGGAAGUACGGUCGCAAGGCUGAAACUUAAAGGAAUUGGCGGGGGAGCACCGACAAGGGGUGAAGCUUGCGGUUU
rnacentral:rRNA from 1 species